rnacentral:lncRNA from 1 species
GUUAUUAAUAUCGGCUGUUCGUCUUCCUAGUUUUAACGCCAUGAUAUACAUUGUUAGAUGAUACUAAGAAGGUGUUCUAAAUGAAACAGGACAGAAAACAGUAAGAAAAAGAUAAAAGACGAAACCAAAGAUAACAAAGAAUUUCUUACCGGUCUUAUAGUUUGGGUAAGUUGCAGUCGGUGAAAAUUAACCUUUCUAAUUGCUAUGCUGUAAAAUGUACUCAGUCACUUUCACUUUUAUCGCUUCAAACUCAAUGAAUAAGUUUGAUUUUACUUUCAGUUUGUUUCUAAUAAUUUUUCUUUCGAUAAUAUAUUAAUAAUAAAGUUAUUAUAUUAAGUAAUUAAUUUUAAAAAGUAUUUGGCACAACUUUUUGGAAUUUUGUGUAGACGAAACGCACGUCUGGCGUAUUAAAAUUAUAAUCCUGGUACCUUUGAUAACUAUGAAUCUUGAUAUAUUUCCUAUUUCAAUAGGAGUCUUUGAUGUUGAUUGACAAUACAAUCGCUGUUCGUUAUUCCAAAGAGUAUACUAUCAUAAAGUCAUUAAUGUUUGAAUAAUCGUGUUGUCUUUACAUUAUACAGUUAUGAUAAAUGUUUAAAUCAUGCUUUCCGAACAUCAUAAUGUACAACAUGUUCAUAAUAUCUGUGUUUUUUUCAACUUAUUUUGAGGAAAAUAACACAUUAUAUAGUUCUGGGAUAUUCCCUCUUCAUGAUAAGUCAUCAUUAUAAGAUAGUUUCUGUCAUGUAUAUCCUAAUAUCAUAAUUAAUGUCACAAUAUUUUGUGAAUUUAAUUACAUUGAACACAUGUUUUGGAUCUAAAUAUGUAAACAGUUUGAGAGCGUUAAAAAUUUAUAUAUCAGGUCAACCUUGUAUGAAGAUGAUGCGUAACCGAAUGGGAAGUUAACAAAGGGAUAUCAAAGAUCAUAAGUCCAAAACAAACUGACACAAACCGAAAUCGACUAAAAGACAAAAAACAGGCUUCAAAGUAAUACAUAGACAACUAAAAACCAAGGAACACAGUUUUGAUAAAUUGAUUUUCCCAACAAAAUGUAUCAUUUGAAUAAUGAAAGUACCAUUGAACUGACUAAAUAUAAAAGUGACAGUAAUAACAUAUGUAUACCAUUUUUGUGCCAUAUAAACUGUUGUCGACAAUAUCGGGAACAAGCGACACACUAUGCCAAAGCCGAACACAUAAAACAAGAGAGCUUACAAUAUAGAGGGACCUGCAUAAACAAUGCUUUGAUUAUUGAUAUAUAAGAUAUUGAUAUCAAAACUAAAAUGUGUAUUUGCUUAAAAAAGUCCUGAACUCAGAAAAAUAAAGUUUAGCUCCCAUCUUGAUGAGUAACCAAUGUUCGUCUUCAUACUAUAUUGUAUUCUUUGAUACUUUUUUUUACUGUUUCUCCAUUCUAAUCUAGCUUUUGUAGUUUUAUUCUUAUACCAAUCACGAUGGCAAACGUCAAUAUCAAUAUCUCUUACCUUUCAGACAUAUAAUCCUCCCUUUUUUGUCUCUUUUGCUAAUAGAAUAGUUAUAAACUAAACAAAAUCAUAGUGUUUUACUUUUUGCAGAUUGCAACUGAUAAGAAACAAUAAUGUCAAACCCUCAACACAAAUUCUUUAACAACAUCAGUUACAAGUCAGAUAAAACCGAUUCAAUCUAUGAGGAGGUACCUUCAGAAAAUCAUUCAACAGAGUACGAUGAAAUAAAAUUAGUGUAUAAGAAAGAUCAUUCCAAUGAU